AGCGAACGCUGGCGGCAGGCUUAACACAUGCAAGUCGAGCGGGCAUCCUUGUGGUGUCAGCGGCAGACGGGUGAGUAACGCGUGGGAACGUGCCCUUCGGUUCGGAAUAACUCAGGGAAACUUGAGCUAAUACCGGAUACGUGCGAGAGCAGAAAGGUUUAUCUGCCGAAGGAUCGGCCCGCGUCUGAUUAGCUAGUUGGUGAGGUUACGGCUCACCAAGGCGACGAUCAGUAGCUGGUCUUAGAGGAUGAUCAGCCACACUGGGACUGAGACACGGCCCAGACUCCUACGGGAGGCAGCAGUGGGGAAUAUUGGACAAUGGGGGCAACCCUGAUCCAGCCAUGCCGCGUGAGUGAUGACGGCCUUAGGGUUGUAAAGCUCUUUUCUCCGGGACGAUAAUGACGGUACCGGAGGAAUAAGCCCCGGCUAACUUCGUG
rnacentral:rRNA from 1 species